GGAGGAAUAUUGGUCAAUGGGCGAGAGCCUGAACCAGCCAAGUCGCGUGAAGGAAGAAGGAUCUAUGGUUCGUAAACUUCUUUUUUAGGGGAAUAAAGUGCGGUACGUGUACCGUUUUGUAUGUACCCUACGAAUAAGGAUCGGCUAACUCCGUGCCAGCAGCCGCGGUAAUACGGAGGAUCCGAGCGUUAUCCGGAUUUAUUGGGUUUAAAGGGUGCGUAGGCGGAAGAAUAAGUCAGUGGUGAAAGUU
rnacentral:rRNA from 1 species